UCUAAAGAGCCUCAGCUGCCGCGUGCCUUCUGUCUGCUGUGGGCCCAGCAGCUGCACAGACCCCUCUUGUUGGGAGACAAGACAGGGCUCUUUCUCUCCCGUGACCUCAGCCUCAUCUCCAAUCGUGGGGAAGAGAGAAACUGAAAUUCUUCCUGUGACUGAACACAUGAGAAUGCAACAGUUACUUGGGGUAACAGGUUUCCUGUGGGUCCUGUGUGAAGAGUAUGCAUUCAUUCCAGUGUCGGGGAGGGGAGAAGAAUGAGGAGGAGGCAGUCCCAUGUGGAUGUCAGUGUGAUGAUUAGGAUGCCUGAUGCUUCCGAAACAAGAAUACACUUUACGAAAAUGCCCAUUGAAAAUACUUUUUCCUUUCUACUCUUGUGCUAAGAGUGCCUGUUUGGACCCCAUGGCUUCGUAAUGCAAUGGCUUUUACCCUUGUCCCACGGCCCCCCUGCCCAACUCAAGAAGGUGAUGAAAUAGGCUGCAGAAGUUCCCAGCCAGGGUAUUGUGAAGAUGAAAGCAAAGAUAUGGCAAGAGCUCAGAAGAGUACCUGGCCCAUAAGAAAAUGCCAGUGUUGGAGAAAAUGGGAGAGGAAGCUGGAAAAGCCUGGGGGAGUUAUCAUCAGUGAUACAUGUCUGACCCCAGGCCUUCUCUAGAAGAAUGGCAAAAGGAAGUUCUUUAAACAGAAAGGAAAUAAUAAAAUAUGGACCUUCGAAUGUUAGGAAGAAAGAGAAAAUAUGAGAAAUGUUUAUUUAUAAAAUGUGUGCAAUGAGCAAAAAUAUGGUUAAAGACAAUGGAUUGCUUCUUU
rnacentral:lncRNA from 10 species